AUUGAACGCUGGCGGCAGGCCUAACACAUGCAAGUCGAGCGGAUGAAGGGGGCUUGCUCCUGGAUUCAGCGGCGGACGGGUGAGUAAUGCCUAGGAAUCUGCCUGGUAGUGGGGGAUAACGUCCGGAAACGGGCGCUAAUACCGCAUACGUCCUGAGGGAGAAAGUGGGGGAUCUUCGGACCUCACGCUAUCAGAUGAGCCUAGGUCGGAUUAGCUAGUUGGUGGGGUAAAGGCCUACCAAGGCGACGAUCCGUAACUGGUCUGAGAGGAUGAUCAGUCACACUGGAACUGAGACACGGUCCAGACUCCUACGGGAGGCAGCAGUGGGGAAUAUUGGACAAUGGGCGAAAGCCUGAUCCAGCCAUGCCGCGUGUGUGAAGAAGGUCUUUGGAUUGUAAAGCACUUUAAGUUGGGAGGAAGGGCAGUAAGUUAAUACCUUGCUGUUUUGACGUUACCAACAGAAUAAGCACCGGCUAACUUCGUG
rnacentral:rRNA from 1 species